rnacentral:rRNA from 1 species
GCCAACGGCUGUACCAUGUUGAAAACACCGGUUUUCGUGUGAUCAACGCAGUUAGCAGCUAACGGGCGUGGCCAGUACUUGAAUGGGUGACGCUUGGGAACAACACGUGCUAUUGGCA